rnacentral:rRNA from 1 species
UACGUAGGGGGGCGAGCGUUGUCCGGAAUUAUUGGGCGUAAAGAGCGUGUAGGCGGUUCGGUAAGUCUGCCGUGAAAACCUGGGGCUCAACCCCUGGGCGUGCGGUGGAUACUGCCGGGCUAGAGGGUGGUAGAGGCGAGUGGAAUUCCCGGUGUAGCGGUGAAAUGCGCAGAUAUCGGGAGGAACACCAGUAGCGAAGGCGGCUCGCUGGGCCAUUCCUGACGCUGAGACGCGAAAGCUAGGGGAGCGAACAGG